GUGGGGAAUAUUGGACAAUGGGCGAAAGCCUGAUCCAGCAAUGCCGCGUGAGUGAAGAAGGCCUUCGGGUUGUAAAGCUCUUUUACCCGGGAAGAUAAUGACUGUACCGGGAGAAUAAGCCCCGGCUAACUCCGUGCCAGCAGCCGCGGUAAUACGGAGGGGGCUAGCGUUGUUCGGAAUUACUGGGCGUAAAGCGCACGUAGGCGGUCUUUUAAGUCAGAGGUGAAAGCCCGGGGCUCAACUCCGGAAUUGCCUUUGAAACUGGAAGACUUGAACACGGGAGAGGUGAGUGGAAUUCCGAGUGUAGAGGUGAAAUUCGUAGAUAUUCGGAGGAACACCAGUGGCGAAGGCGGCUCACUGGACCGUUGUUGACGCUGAGGUGCGAAAGCGUGGGGAGCAAACAGGAUUAGAUACCCUAGUAGUCC
rnacentral:rRNA from 1 species